GCCGAAGUGGCGGAAUUGGCAGACGCGUCAGGUUCAGGACCUGGUAGGGGCGACCCUGUGGGGGUUCGAGUCCCCCCUUCGGCA
rnacentral:tRNA from 1 species